CGGACGGGGGAGUAAUGUCUGGGAAACUGCCUGAUGGAGGGGGAUAACUACUGGAAACGGUAGCUAAUACCGCAUAACGUCGCAAGACCAAAGAGGGGGACCUUCGGGCCUCUUGCCAUCGGAUGUGCCCAGAUGGGAUUAGCUAGUAGGUGGGGUAACGGCUCACCUAGGCGACGAUCCCUAGCUGGUCUGAGAGGAUGACCAGCCACACUGGAACUGAGACACGGUCCAG
rnacentral:rRNA from 1 species